UCGUUAGCUCAGUUGGUAGAGCAGUUGACUUUUAAUCAAUUGGUCGCAGGUUUGAGUUGAGCGCAGCGAAACA
rnacentral:tRNA from 2 species